rnacentral:rRNA from 1 species
AGCGGCGAACGGGUGAGGAAUGCAUGGGUAACCUACCCUCGAGUGGGGAAUAACUAGCCGAAAGGUUAGCUAAUACCGCAUACGAUUCCCGGACUGCGGUUCGGGAGGGAAAGCGAUACCGUGGGUAUCGCGCUCUUGGAUGGGCUCAUGUCCUAUCAGCUUGUUGGUGAGGUAAUGGCUCACCAAGGCUUCGACGGGUAGCUGGUCUGAGAGGACGAUCAGCCACACUGGCACUGCGACACGGGCCAGACUCCUACGGGAGGCAGCAGUAAGGAAUAUUGCGCAAUGGACGAAAGUCUGACGCAGCGACGCCGCGUGGGGGAUGAAGGUCUUCGGAUUGUAAACCCCUUUCGGCAGGGAAGAUGGAACGGGUAACCGUUCGGACGGUACCUGCAGAAGCAGCCACGGCUAACUUCGUGCCAGCAGCCGCGGUAAUACGAAGGUGGCAAGCGUUGUUCGGAUUCACUGGGCGUACAGGGAGCGUAGGCGGUUGGGUAAGCCCUCCGUGAAAUCUCCGGGCCUAACCCGGAAAGUGCAGAGGGGACUGCUCGGCUAGAGGAUGGGAGAGGAGCGCGGAAUUCCCGGUGUAGCGGUGAAAUGCGUAGAGAUCGGGAGGAAGGCCGGUGGCGAAGGCGGCGCUCUGGAACAUUUCUGACGCUGAGGCUCGAAAGCGUGGGGAGCAAACAGGAUUAGAUACCCUGGUAGUCCACGCCUUANACUAUGGAUACUAAG